rnacentral:rRNA from 1 species
UACGGAGGGUGCAAACGUUGCUCGGAAUCAUUGGGCGUAAAGCGCACGUAGGCGGUCCAGCAAGUCGGGUGUGAAAGCCCUCGGCUUAACCGAGGAAGUGCAUUCGAAACUACUGGACUUGAAUACUGGAGAGGAUCGCGGAAUUCCCGGUGUAGAGGUGAAAUUCGUAGAUAUCGGGAGGAACACCAGUGGCGAAGGCGGCGAUCUGGACAGAGACUGACGCUGAGGCGCGAAAGCGUGGGGAGCAAACAGG